AUCCUUUUCCAGUUCAUAAGCAUGAUGAUUGGGUAUUCUUCAUGCCAUUGUGUGAGAUGUAUCAACCUUAAGCAUUGCACAAUGCCCACACAUUACCUUUCUGAUG